rnacentral:lncRNA from 1 species
AUCAGUAAAGACUUAUACUUCCAUCAAGCACUCUUCACAUGUCUGUUUAUGUCACCUGUAGAAGAUCAGCUAUUCCGGGAGCAUUUAUUGAAAACUGAUUGUAAGAGUGGAAUUGAUAUCAUCUGUAAUGCUGAAAAAGAAGGCAAAACUAUGUUAGCCUUGCAACUCUGUGAAUCCUUUCUUAUUCCACAGCUCCAGAAUGGGGAUAUGUACUGUAUCUGGGAGUUGAUUUUCAUAUGGAGUAAACUACAGCUUAAAUCUAAUCCUUCAAAACAAGUUUUUGUAGAUCAAUGCUACCAGCUUUUAAGAACAGCAACUAAUGUGAGAGUCAUAUUUCCUUUCAUGAAAAUCAUCAAAGAUGAGGUUGAAGAAGAAGGCUUGCAAAUUUGUGUUGAAAUAUGUGGUUGUGCUCUACAACUCGACCUUCAUGAUGAUCCCAAAACUAAAUGUCUAAUUUAUAAAACAAUUGCACAUUUUUUGCCAAAUGAUUUGGAGAUCCUCAGGAUUUGUGCACUCUCAAUAUUUUUUCUGGAGCGCUCCUUAGAAGCGUAUCGUACUGUUGAAGAGCUUUACAAACGUCCAGAUGAAGAAUAUAAUGAAGGCACAAGUAGUGUUCAAAAUCGUGUUCGUUU